CCCAUUUACACUCAACCAGCAUGGUGCAAUCUCAAAUCAACACAUCUUUUUUUUUAAGUAGUUUGCUUGCACACAAUACUACUUUAUAAAUGUGGAAAAUGCAGCCAACAUAGUAAGUAAUCAACAAAUAUCUACAUGAUUUCCCUAUUUAUAGCCUGCAAUUCCUAGUAUAGAAAAUGGUAGGCCUAAUUUGCCUAAAUGUAAUCAUUACUGUACUCUACCUGCAUGCUCAAUUUUAAUUGAGGAAAUAGAGUUGUUGUCUGUAAGGUUAGAGACUGGUUUUGGCAAUCUGUUUUCAAAUAUUCUUAUUCCUUGUCUCCGUUUAAGAUCAUUAAUUCGCUUCCUGCACUGGUUGGCUGUUUUCUGAAGCCCAACGGUAGUGGCGCUCACUCGCUCUGCUACUUGCUCCCAGGCUGACCGAGCAUUGGAAACUCUGAACGGUUUUGUCGGUGUACCAUAAAUAGAAUAUCGCCGUGCAUGGACUUCACGCAAUAAUAUUCUUGUUUGCUCUCGCGUAAAACGACUUCGAGUCGCCGCCGUCAACAUUUUAGAGCCUGCACACGGUUUCAUAACGUAAACACGGAAAUCCCGAAUGCGCUUCUCGCAGGAGAGGGGCGUUUUUGCGUUGCGAAAGUGAUAAAUAGUAAUGGCGUAUUUUUGUAGGCACUAAAACUGCGCCAUGGACAAAGCCUAUGGAAAAAAUGAAUGGUGUUUUUGUAGGAUUUUCGGAAAACGCCAAAAAUAAGGGAUAGCUGAAUGACUAAUUUCCGGGUUGUAAGACUACAAACUGGCGAGCUCUAUUGACACGCAGAUGCAAGCAGUAGUGCCUUUACGCACAGACGUCACUUCAGGAGUGUCAAUUGUGGGAUGUAUUUCAGAAAGCCCAAUGUCCUUAUACGUUUCAAAUGUUUUGCAUCGCGAUCAAAGUCCACUUUUGUCCCUUGUGUUUGUUAUGCAGUCUGUAUUUGCAAUGUCAAAACUAACUUUAUGUAUUUAUUCACACAGUAAAUUCAGUAUGUAAAAGCAAUAAUGUUUUUUUUUUUAAACAACAGCCUGAAAAUUGACCCUCAUCUGCGGGUGAGAUUUUGUCUCGUGGUCUAGUAGAAACCCAACAACCUAAGAAAAUAUGACUACAUGGGUGAGACUUUUCUUAUGGUCAGCUGUAAAGCUGGAGCUUCUACAUUCUGGCAUUUGGGAUUUUCUCUCUCUCCCUCUCUUUAUGUGUUUCUCUCUAUCUGUUUCUCUCGUUCUGUGUUUCUCUCUCUCUCUCUCUCU
ensembl:lncRNA